AUUUCGUAAUGUAAAUUGCGCUUAAGUUGCGCCCGAUCCUGCUGAAGUCACUCGCAUUUACAGUACUGAUUAUUUAAAAUCUAAUUAUUAAAUUAACCUGCACCGUAAGCUGCGAAACUUAACUAAAGUUCAAAAAUAAAGGAUUUCUCAGCCCGGUUAAAAAUGCGAUUUGCACCUCCUGCUGAUCUUUCCGUCGCAUCAUGUGCGAUGUCCUUGCAAUAUUUUUUUAGAUUGAAUCGACGCCAUUGUAUCAUCUAUUUAAUUUGACGCAUUUGUACGUUUACCAUUCCAAUUGAUACAUUCUAUUUAAAAUUAGAUGGUAAGUCAUUUUGGUUAACAUGAAAAUAUUGAUCGAGCUCUUGCUAGCAUUAUAAUAUUUCUGUGGUUAGCUGAAACUUUUUGGAAAACUUUUUUAAUUCUAGCGCGAUUUAUACAAGUCUUUGAGCCGGUUGUAUCUUUAAAACUAGGUACAUGUUUUUACGGAAAUUUGACAAACCACUAGUGUCAGAGCGAAGCUAAGGUCGAUUUCUGGCCGAAGCCGAAGCCGGCGCUUACUAGAAAGUCUAGAAACCUUCGGCUUCAGCCAAAACUUCAGCCCAUUUUGGCUGAAGACGAAGGUUGGGUCGAAGGUUCAGUCGGAUACUACAAACCACAGACACAGAUAUUUGUUUCUAGAACGUGUCUACAAAAUUUAAUUGAGUUUGAUUGGUUAAUAUUCAAAUGAGAAUGAAACCAAAACUCUUUCUCUUAUGCCAAAAAAUAUUGGUUCUUCAUUCUAACCCAGUGGUUAAUCUUGUACGUUGCAAUGUCAGUCGGUCAGUUUGUCUUCUUAAAUAUAUAUAGAUUCUAUAGUGUUUGAAUCAGGGUCCAGAAAAGCUUUUGAU